AGGAGGAGGAGAACCUGGUACAGUUAGGAGGAGGAGAACCUGGUACAGAUAGGAGGAGGAGAACCUGGAACAGAUAGGAGGAGGAUAACCUGGUACAGAUAGGAGGAGGAGAACCUGGUACAGAUAGGAGGAGGAGAACCUGGUACAGAUAGGAGGAGGAGAACCUGGUACAGAUAGGAGGAGGAGAACCUGGUACAGAUAGGAGGAGGAGAACCUGGUACAGAUAGGAGGAGGAGAACCUGGUACAGAUAGGAGGAGGAGAACCUGGUACAGAUAGGAGGAGAACCUGGUACAGAUAGGAGGAGGAGAACCGCUAUACUAAGGAGUAGGAGAACUAGGUACAGUUAGGAGGAGGAGAACUUGGUACAGUUAGGAGGAGGAGAAAUGGGUACAGAUAGGGAGAAGAAGAGGGGAACCAAGUACGGUAAGGAGGGGAACUAGUUACAGUUAGGAGGAGGCAAACCAGGUGCAGUUAGUAGGCGGUCCAGGUACAGUUAGGAAGAGGAGGACCAGGACCAGUACAAAGGAGGACCAGGUACACCAAGGAGGAGGAGGACCAGGUUCAGUAAGGAGGGGAACAAUU